ensembl:lincRNA
CGUGAGGUCACAGAAACAGCUUUUAAACUGUGUCAAGAUAGCCAGAGCUGGAACAGCAGAGCUACACUGAUUGCCCACUGGACACGGAAAAGCGGCUUCUCUCACACAAAGGUCCAAGAAACUAACUUGGGAAAGGAGAGGGAAAGUUCUCAUUUUCAUAUGCUGGUAAGACAUUCUAGUGCUACCAUGUCAAAAUAUAAGCUUUAAAAUUGUAGACCAGUGGUGGUG